GCCAGCAUGGUGUAGUGGUUUGAACGUUGGACUAUGACUCUGGAGACAGGGUUCAAAUCCUAGCUCAGCCA
rnacentral:tRNA from 1 species